rnacentral:rRNA from 1 species
UACGUAGGGGGCGAGCGUUGUCCGGAUUUAUUGGGCGUAAAGAGCUCGUAGGCGGCUGUUCGAGUCGGGUGUGAAACCCCCAGGCUCAACCUGGGGACGCCACCCGAUACUGCUGUGGCUAGAGUCCAGUAGGGGAGUGUGGAAUUCCCGGUGUAGCGGUGAAAUGCGCAGAUAUCGGGAGGAACACCAGCGGCGAAGGCGGCACUCUGGGCUGGAACUGACGCUGAGGAGCGAAAGCGUGGGUAGCAAACGGG